rnacentral:rRNA from 1 species
AUGCCCCGCACCGAUCCUGGCCUCCCCUGCAUCGCGCCGCUGCCCCUUGCCCAAGGAUCCCCGCCGCCCGUCCCUGGACCUGCCUUGUCUCGAUGGCUCCGGCCAUCCGCAUUGAAUCUCUGGCACUCCAGCGGUCCAGCCAAACCUCACCGCCACCUACCUCCAGCGACGCGUCGGAUUGAGACCUCCUGCACGCCUUGCGGUGGCGCUGCCUCUGCCACACCCAUCGCGAACGAACACCAUGGCCUCGAGGUCCAGCGUCUCAUCGAAGGCACCCGCUGGCGAGAGGUCGGCUCCCCUGCAUCAUGCCGCCGCCCCUUGCCCAAGGAUCAGUGCGCCAGUCGGCAGAGCUGGGCAGUGUUUGGGGUGGGAGAGGGAGGUGUUAGUGGGGGCGCCAACGGCAGGUCAUGCGACGACGGCGGCGCGGGUGCAGCGACAGUAGGAUGGGGAAAGUGA